rnacentral:rRNA from 1 species
CAUCUGGAAAGAUGAAUCAAAGAAGGUAAUAAUCCUGUAGUCGAAAAUGUUGUCUCUCUUGAGUGGAUCCUGAGUACGACGGAGCACGUGAAAUUCCGUCGGAAUCUGGGAGGACCAUCUCCUAAGGCUAAAUACUCUCUAGUGACCGAUAGUGAACCAGUACCGUGAGGGAAAGGUGAAAAGCACCCCGGAAGGGGAGUGAAAUAGAACCUGAAACCGUGUGCUUACAAGUAGUCAGAGCCCGUUAAUGGGUGAUGGCGUGCCUUUUGUAGAAUGAACCGGCGAGUUACGAUUUGAUGCAAGGUUAAGCAGUAAAUGUGGAGCCGUAGCGAAAGCGAGUCUGAAUAGGGCGUUUAGUAU